rnacentral:rRNA from 1 species
GACGAACGCUGGCGGCGUGCUUAACACAUGCAAGUCGAACGGAAAGGCCCUGCUUUUGUGGGGUGCUCGAGUGGCGAACGGGUGAGUAACACGUGAGUAACCUGCCCUUGACUUUGGGAUAACUUCAGGAAACUGGGGCUAAUACCGGAUAGGAGCUCCUGCUGCAUGGUGGGGGUUGGAAAGUUUCGGCGGUUGGAGAUGGACUCGCGGCUUAUCAGCUUGUUGGUGGGGUAGUGGCUUACCAAGGCUUUGACGGGUAGCCGGCCUGAGAGGGUGACCGGCCACAUUGGGACUGAGAUACGGCCCAGACUCCUACCGGAGGCAGCAGUGGGGAAUAUUGCACAAUGGGCGGAAGCCUGAUGCAGCAACGCCGCGUGCGGGAUGACGGCCUUCGGGUUGUAAACCGCUUUCGCCUGUGACGAAGCGUGAGUGACGGUAAUGGGUAAAGAAGCACCGGCUAACUACGUG